GACGAACGCUGGCGGCGUGCUUAACACAUGCAAGUCGAACGGAAAGGCCCUGCUUUUGUGGGUUUCUCGAGUGGCGAACGGGUGAGUAACACGUGAGUAACCUGCCCUUGACUUUGUGAUAACUUCAGGAAACUGGGGCUAAUACCGGAUAUGAGCUCCUGCUGCAUGGUGGUGGUUGGAAAGUUUCGGCGGUUGGGGAUGGAUUCGCUGCUUAUCAACUUGUUGGUGGGGUAGUGGCUUACCAAGGCUUUGACGGGUAGCCGGCAUGAGAGGGUGACCGGCCACAUUGGGACUGAGAUACGGCCCAGACUCCUACGGGAGGCAGCAGUGGGGAAUAUUGCACAAUGGGCGGAAGCCUGAUGCAGCAACGCCGCGAGCGGGAUGACGGCCUUCGGGCUGUAAACAGAUUUCGACUGUGACGAAGAGUGAGUGACGGUAAUGGGUAAAGAAGCACCGGCUAACUACGUG
rnacentral:rRNA from 1 species